rnacentral:rRNA from 1 species
CAGUCGCCGCGGUAAUACAGAGGGUGCGAGCGUUAAUCGGAUUUACUGGGCGUAAAGCGUGCGUAGGCGGCUUUUUAAGUCGGAUGUGAAAUCCUUGAGCUUAACUUAGGAAUUGCAUUCGAUACUGGGAAGCUAGAGUAUGGGAGAGGAUGGUAGAAUUCCAGGUGUAGCGGUGAAAUGCGUAGAGAUCUGGAGGAAUACCGAUGGCGAAGGCAGCCAUCUGGCCUAAUACUGACGCUGAGGUACGAAAGCAUGGGGAGCAAACAGGAUUAGAUACCCGCGUAGUCCCUGUCUCUUAUAC